UACGUAGGGUGCGAGCGUUGUCCGGAAUUAUUGGGCGUAAAGGGCUCGUAGGCGGUUUGUCGCGUCGGGAGUGAAAACCUUGGGCUUAACUCAGGGCUUGCUUUCGAUACGGGCAGACUAGAGGUAUGCAGGGGAGAACGGAAUUCCUGGUGUAGCGGUGGAAUGCGCAGAUAUCAGGAGGAACACCGGUGGCGAAGGCGGGUCUCUGGGCAGUAACUGACGCUGAGGAGCGAAAGCGUGGGGAGCGAACAGG
rnacentral:rRNA from 1 species